GCCACAUGGGCCUAGCACACAGGUUGGAAGCGAUAUGCCACUGGCCUGAGUAUGUUCCCAAUAGCUAUCAGGUGGGCUGUAAGCAUGAAUUGUCCACUAAAUAGGAUGCACAGGUGUUUCAUGUGAGCACUAAUACAGCCAGAGCAGAGGGGAAGUGGCUUCUAAGAGCAAGUGCAUUGCAAACUCUCAGCUUGGAUCUUCAGCCUUUUCCAUAUAGGCCUGGAUGGAUGAUCUGGGAAGAAGAGCAGGACGCAUGCUGUGGCUUGAACUCCCUGCAACCGUUCCACAGGGAUCUGGGUCUGCUUUACAUUUGCAGGAGAAACGGAAGAUGGGAAGGCUGGAGGACCACCAAUCAGAGGGCAGGACUGUGUGAGAGAUGCCUAACUGAAUGAUCCUGGCAGUUCUUGGAAUCUACCUCAAAAAAGUCAGUCACUGGAUUCCAAAGCUGCAAUAGCUUCUGUGUGUUGAGUCGAGUUUCUGAAACUUCAUAUCCUUCCUAACUGUCUGGAAAGAAAUCGCUAUAUUAGACAAACUCUGGUUCUGAGGAAAUGAACACAUAGAGCUUCAGCUACCCUGCUGGCAUGUGGUAUAAAUACUUAAUUUGUGUUACAGUAUGUGAUAAUAUAUAUGAUCCGAUUUAAUCACCUGGACUAGCCAAGGAUCCAGGCCUAGCAAACACAACUUAGAAACCAUUAAAUCACAUAGAAUUCAUUCAUACUUUAAAAUAAGCUUUAUUUUUUUUAAUAUUUUUAUAUUUGCAUCCAUGCCUUCAAGGACUCUUCCGCACUCACAUGGGAAAAGUUAAAUCUAAUGUUACCCAUAAUUCAUAUGCUAUUAAUUGUAGUUUUCUUUUAAAUAAAUCAUCCUCUUAGUAACUUUUUUAGAUUAUUUCCUAAUUUAGAAAAACUGAAAUGAAAAGGAAACGUCUAAAAUAACCAGGAGUUUUGCUUGCUUGUUUUUAAAUUAUAAAAACACAAGAGGGGGAAAAUGUAUAAAGAUGGUCCUCUGCAGAGAAGGAUGCCACAGGGUUGUUCUCCCGCACCCUGGUUUGGGACAGAUCCCCAUUGCAAAGCAGUGCAGGUAUUUAAAGCUGCUUUCCCUAACCCCCUGUGGUUUCUCCAGAUCAUUCUGUUAGAAGAAAAUAUAACAUGGGGGUAUUUUGUGUUUUAGUGUCAUAAUUAAAGACCAAAUAUCCCUUUCAAACAGGGUGCACAUAUUGGAAUUAAAAAAAUACACAAAAUUUUAUUAAAUAAUCUUAAAGUUAAGAGCGUAAAAUUGUAUUGUAAGCAUUAAAGCACGACACACUGUAGUUUGUAGUAACCAGAUAGCCGUGCACGUUAGUGAAAAGAGAAAAAAAAAUCACAGAUUUUGAAGAGAGCCUAAUGGAUUUAGGAGCCCAAGUCCCCAGUAAAAAGAGUGGGCUUUGUGCUUCUAAAUCUUUUAGGUACACUGGCAAAAGUCUCUGCCCCCCCAAUAAACUAGAAUUUAGAAGAGAACAAACAGACAUGGUUUCAGAAGCAACUACAUCAAAUUACCAGAUCUUUCCAAAAUGCACAUUUGUUUGCCUGUGAAGUAGAGUUAGAAGGAAACAAUGCCCCACACUAAGGGUUGAAGAGAUGCAACUGCCAGCUUUGCUUACCUGGGGGCACCAACGCUAUUAGACUGCUCCACUGUGGGGUGAAUGACAGGAGUAGCCCAGACCCAGACCAGUUUUCUUACAGACAAAAUAAAUAUUCCUGGCCUGAGUUAACAGCAUUAGAUACAGAACGGUUUUCCAGGGUUCCAUGAGUGUCUGAUCGAACGCUGUAUCCUUAUAUUUAGUCAGUCAGACUCACUCCCAACUUUACUCUGGAGUCUCUUAGGAUCCCAUUCAACAAAGCACAACUUUAAGCAGGUGUUUAAAUCACACUGAAGUCAAUGGGACUUAAGUAUUUUCCUGCAAAGAGAUGGAUUGCUGAAUCAGGGCCUUGGUUCCUUAAGACACGCUUUAUCCCCCUUUCUUAUUAAUAACCCAAAUGAAUCCAGUAAAUAGGAAAAGCCUCAGACAUGAGGCAAAAACUAACUAUGUUUCUGUGGACAGAAAAUACAAUCAAAGCAAAGGUCCGUGCUUCCUUCCAAACCCAUACAGUACUGAAAAGGCCGGUCUGCUUUGCAGUCUAACAUUUUCCUCCACAUUAUUCCAUAAUAAAUAUCUCUGUUGCUCUUUUCCAAUAUGUUGAGCAUUGUUGUUUUUUUUUUUAUAGUUUUAGAUAAAGACAUCUGAAAAUCUCUGACCUGGUUAUACUACCUAUAUAGCAAUCUGGCUCCCCGAUCCUGCUGUCUGGAUUGACUGCAGGAUAGGGGAAAGUACACAAUGUUAGCACGAGAGACAGAGAAAUGCAACAGAAA